rnacentral:rRNA from 1 species
UACAGAGGGGGCAAGCGUUGUUCGGAAUUACUGGGCGUAAAGGGUGCGUAGGCGGUUCGUUAAGUCUGUCGUGAAAUCCCCGGGCUCAACCUGGGAAUGGCGAUGGAUACUGGCGAGCUAGAGUGUGUCAGAGGAUGGUGGAAUUCCCGGUGUAGCGGUGAAAUGCGUAGAGAUCGGGAGGAACAUCAGUGGCGAAGGCGGCCACCUGGACCAGUACUGACACUGAGGCACGAAAGCGUGGGGAGCAAACAGG